UACGUAGGGUGCAAGCGUUGUCCGGAAUUAUUGGGCGUAAAGAGCUCGUAGGCGGUCUGUCGCGUCUGCUGUCGGAAACCCGGGGCUCAACCCGGGCCUGCAGUCGAUACGGGCAGACUAGAGUGCGGUAGGGGAGACUGGAAUUCCUGGUGGUAGCGGUGAAAUGGCGCAGAUAUCAGGAGGAACGCCGGUGGCGAAGGCGGUUCUCUGGGCAUUACCUGACGCUGAGGAGCGAAAGUGUGGGGGGCGAACAGG
rnacentral:rRNA from 1 species